rnacentral:rRNA from 1 species
UACAGAGGUCUCAAGCGUUGUUCGGAUUCAUUGGGCGUAAAGGGUGCGUAGGCGGCGCGGUAAGUCGGGUGUGAAAUCUCGGAGCUUAACUCCGAAACUGCAUUCGAUACUGGCGUGCUUGAGGACUGGAGAGGAGACUGGAAUUAUGGUGUAGCGUGAAAUGCGUAGAGAUCAUGAGGAAGACCAGUGGCGAAGGCGGGUCUUGCGU